GGCAGUGUAGUGUAACGGGUAAGGAGCUGGACUUGUAACCCAAAGGUCGCAGGUUCGAUUCCCGGGGAGGACACUGCCG
rnacentral:tRNA from 1 species